CUAGAUUACAAUGGGUAGAAUAGACAAUAUCAUCACCAUCCGAAACGCAUCUAUAAAUGCAAACCUUUUUUUCAAGCAUUAUUCAUUCAUUAAAUCAAUUCCAUGUGUCGUUCUUUACAAAAGAAAAAGCAAACGUAAUAUAAAACCACUUCGCAUAAUGGUGAAGCUCGUGGAAUUACAUAUGAUGGUCCUAUGUGUGACCAUUUUUGUAGCACUCGUCGAGCAUGAGUGUGCCAAUAAUGGAGCCUUUAAAGACGAAUUAGCUGUCGCAAUUUCACAAGUUUGCCCUCCCACUUGUGCCAAAGCAACAGGAAAAAAAUUAUAUUGUUGUUGUGGUAACUCAAAUAUGUGUGCAAAAUUCUCGCCUGAUUGUGAUGCUGACUGUGCCAAGAAAAAAAAAUCAUGUUGUUGAAGAUUGAAUAUGAUAUCAUUUUCGGACGAUCAAAAAAUAAAAGAAAUAAGAGUGGUUUUUAGUUUGUGGUGUUGUGAACUGAUAGCAAAACAAUAUAGUAAAGAUAUAGGGGAAAAGGUAUCGAUAUUUCAUUGAUAGGUAUAUUAAACAUUGAGAUACAAUGAUAUAUAUGUAGGAAAGGAAGUCUUGGAGAACAACCUAAUCUAUUUAAGGAGUUGAUAAUCACAUAUAAUAUAUAAUAUUUUUAACA